GACGAACGCUGGCGGCGUGCUUAACACAUGCAAGUCGAGCGGUGAACCGGAGCUUGCUCCGGGGAUCAGCGGCGAACGGGUGAGUAACACGUGGGCAACCUGCCCUCAGCUCUGGGAUAACUCCGGGAAACCGGGGCUAAUACCGGAUACGACUUCCUGCGGCAUCACGGGAAGUGGAAAGUUUUUUCGGCUGAGGAUGGGCCCGCGGCCUAUCAGCUUGUUGGUGGGGUAACGGCCCACCAAGGCGACGACGGGUAGCCGGCCUGAGAGGGCGACCGGCCACACUGGGACUGAGACACGGCCCAGACUCCUACGGGAGGCAGCAGUGGGGAAUAUUGCGCAAUGGGCGAAAGCCUGACGCAGCGACGCCGCGUGAGGGAUGAA
rnacentral:rRNA from 1 species